rnacentral:rRNA from 1 species
GAUGAACGCUGGCGGCGUGCUUAACACAUGCAAGUCGAACGGAAAGGCUCCUGCUUGCCGGGGUACUCGAGUGGCGAACGGGUGAGUAACACGUGGGUGAUCUGCCCUGCACUUCGGGAUAAGCCUGGGAAACUGGGUCUAAUGCCGGAUAGGACCACAUUUUGGAUGGUGUGGUGGAAAGUUUUUCGGUGUGGGAUGAGCUCGCGGCCUAUCAGCUUGUUGGUGGGGUAAUGGCCUACCAAGGCGUCGACGGGUAGCCGGCCUGAGAGGGUGUACGGCCACAUUGGGACUGAGAUACGGCCCGGACUCCUACGGGAGGCAGCAGUGGGGAAUAUUGCACAAUGGGCGCAAGCCUGAUGCAGCGACGCCGCGUGGGGGAUGACGGCCUUCGGGUUGUAAACUACUUUCGCUAGGGACGAAGCGCAAGUGACGGUACCUGGAGAAGAAGCACCGGCUAACUACGUG